CCUACGGGUGGCUGCAGUGGGGAAUAUUGGACAAUGGGCGAAAGCCUGAUCCAGCCAUGCCGCGUGUGUGAAGAAGGCCUUCGGGUUGUAAAGCACUUUCAGUGGGGAAGAAAGCCUUGGGGCUAAUACCCUCGAGGAAGGACAUCACCCACAGAAGAAGCACCGGCUAACUCCGUGCCAGCAGCCGCGGUAAUACGGAGGGUGCGAGCGUUAAUCGGAAUUACUGGGCGUAAAGCGCGCGUAGGCGGUCUGAUAAGCCGGUUGUGAAAGCCCCGGGCUCAACCUGGGAACGGCAUCCGGAACUGUCAGGCUAGAGUGCAGGAGAGGAAGGUAGAAUUCCCGGUGUAGCGGUGAAAUGCGUAGAGAUCGGGAGGAAUACCAGUGGCGAAGGUGGUCUUCUGGACUGACACUGACGCUGAGGUGCGAAAGCGUGGGUAGCAAACAGGAUUAGAUACCCCGGUAGUC
rnacentral:rRNA from 1 species